GUUUACAAGGGUUCUCUGCUCAUCAUGGUCAUUAAGGAGCUCAAACAGGCAGCAGCUGUGUCUUGGUGGCUUCAACAAUAUAUAAGAUUGAAUUGUGAUCAGAAGAGCAAAUGGAAUUACAUUUUGCAGAAUCCUCUGUUGAUUCAUAUAUAAAUUUCAGAAAAUGUUGAGACUGUCAGGAGAUUAGCAUUUCUUUCUCGAGAUGUUGUUUGUUUGUUAUCCUUCACACUGAGCGAGAUUAAUGGGCAUCAAGAGAUGGGGGCACAUAAGGACGCAUAUAUUAACCCAGCAGUUCUUUCCUUAGUGCAAGUGCCAUAAAUAUUCACAAUGUUGUUUGUGUUAUUCUUCUUUUCAGUUCUAAUUUUUAUUCUCCUGCUAUGUCUUUUUUUUAACCUCAGAAGUGGUAUUAUAUAAUUAUCAUUCUUAGUGUUGUGUGUGCCACAUUUAAGUGGUUCAUUUUUUCUAACAACUAAAGAUUGACCAUCACUUAGCUUGCAUGGAUCUUUUCCAAAUAUUCCUCAGUUGCCAUAAUUUGGUAAAAUGAGACACCUUCUUAGAAAGCUUUUUUUUUAAAAGCAAAUUAACUAUGUCAGGUUUAUUUCAUUUUGUUUUGCUCUAUGAAUUAGUGUUCUAUUUUCUGGUAUAAAAUAAUUACAAAAUGAGCUUAAAUGAGCAGACCCAUGGAAAAUCUAUCUGUAUAACUCAGUCCAAUAUUUAGUCUAUGAAACAUUAUUUUGGUUAAUUUCAUGAUAUUCCUGUGUUAUUAUUUUAGUCCUGGACGUGGCACCAAAUAUUUAGGAAACUUUUUUAGCCAAAGUUCAAUUAGAGAAGCAGAAUCAGUAGUAAAUAUAUAUGAAGGGGUUAGCUUUCAUGAUUGUAAGGGCGGCCUAGGCGAGUCCACAAUCUUUAGGGUUGGCCAUCAGGAAGGGAAGAGUGGACCUCUCAGGCUGAGUUAAAGAUGCAGUACACAGAUAGAAUUUCUUCCAGGAAACUUCUGUUCUGUUCUAAGGGCUUUCAACUGAUUAAAUCAGGCCUACCCAGAUUAUCUAGGAUAAUCUCCUUUGCUUAAAGUCAACCACUUAUAAGUGUUAACCACACCUACAAAUGUCUUCACAGCAAUAUCUAGAUUAGUUUGACUGAAUAACUGGGUAUCUUAGCCUAGCCAAAUUAACACAUAAAACUGACCAUUAAAGUCCAACACAUAUCAACUUGACACCCCUACACAUCUCCUUGAAGUAUGUUUACCCUCCAGAUAAAAACAGUAACAAAGUCCUAUUUUCCAGCUACCAUGAUACAGCUAUCCUGUGCACUACCGAAAAUGCAAUAACCAUUUCCCUGGAGGAAGAUGCACAGUCAAUAGUCUUGCAUUGGAAAGUGCCUCACAACCAGAGGGUCUGCAGCAAGAACAAUGUAGAUACCUAAGAGAAGGCAAAGACCUGGUGACUGAGAAACAGAAUCAGACAUAGUUUCCCACGUCCAAGACUCGGGCGCUCAGAAGCGUGAUGCACCGUUUCUGGCUUGGAGGUGAAGGAGACCUUGUGGCAAGCGAUGCCGGCAGAGUGUAGGGCCUGAGAGCAGCCCCAGAUGACGGUCAGUCAGAAAGGAAACAGUGACCUCAGUCUUACAACGGCAAGAAACUGAGUUUUUCUUGGACGGUACAUACUUUGGAAUUUAACUUGGAAGCAGACUUCUCCCAGAGC